rnacentral:tRNA from 1 species
CCACUCGGUGGGGUAGUUGACGAAUCCGGUCGCGCCGAGCACGCGGCCGAGCAGGGCCCGGUUCGCACGCGCCUCGGCGCUGAUGCCGGGUGCGUGGG